rnacentral:rRNA from 1 species
UACGUAGGGUGCAAGGCGUUGUCCGGAAUUAUUGGGCGUAAAGAGCUCGUAGGCGGUUUGUCGCGUCUGCUGUGAAAACCCGAGGCUCAACCUCGGGCCUGCAGUGGGUUACGGGCAGACUAGAGUGGCGGUAGGGGAGAUUGGAAUUCCUGGUGUAGCGGUGGAAUGCGCAGAUAUCAGGAGGAACACCGAUGGCGAAGGCAGAUCUCUGGAACGCAACUGACGCUGAGACGCGAAAGCGUGGGGAGCAAACAGG